CCAUUCAAUUUUUUGUUCAUUGCUAUCAAUUUGACGAUUUCUGUUUGAUUCUAUUGUACAUCAUUGUUAACUGUAUGAAAGCAUGCUUAUUGUAGAGGCAUUUAUUAAAAUAUUAAAAUUUAAUUUUUUUUUGUAAUAGGAUCUAUCAUUUCAUCCAACUAGAAGAGUUUCUCCAAUUCUAUGCAUUUUUCUAGAAUACACAGACAAUCCUGACCUUUCAAGCCAUUAAAUUGAAAUCUGGCUUACUGAUGCAAAAGAAUUACUAAUUUAAUCAAAGUAGUUUUUUUAUCACUUGCAUUAUUUUUUCUUUUCUAGAUCUUAUCAGCUCAGUUUUUGUGCUGACAUAUAGACUGGUUCAUAAAUUCAUGUUUCCCUAGAAGAUUGAAUUCAGAAGUCUCAAUUUCUUGAGAUGUGAAAGCAUGCCAGAUAAAUGGUGUCCCUUGUCAGGCAAUGUUAGUGGAAAAUUUAUCAUUUCAUUCAAGAGAACUUUAUAUUUGUUUUGACUUCCCAUGUUGGUUGAAUGCAUUCCCUGGACUUGGUUAGUUUAUUUUCUGUUCUACUUCAAUCCAUACCAAAACCAAACAAUAGAAACAAGGUGAAAAUGACAGGACAGUUAGAUGUUACAGGACAACAAUGAACCCUUCAUGCAAUUCUGGAAUUGUUAAUAAAAUUUUCUAUCCGACUAAAUUCUUGUAAUCAGAAAUAUUAAGCUAAUAUUGGUUUUUGCAUGAUCCUGAUUCCUUUAUGGAAUUUUAUGUCAGUAGUUUUAAUUCUUUGGUGUCAACACAUUUUUAAGAUAUCUCAAUUUACAGGGCUAUACUCCAAUCUUCUGUGUUGGUGUUUUGGAUUCUCUGGCAGUGGAAUUGAAGGCGACAAAGGAUUUCUCCAAGUUAUAUGCUGGCAUUUGCAAUACUUGGGUAUAUUGCUUUCGUUCCAGAAUCCGUCAACACCCGAGCCUUUUCUCAUCUUCUCACUUUCCUGGGCCAUAGAUAUCCCAAGAUCCGGAAGGCUUCUGCUGAACAAGUUUACUUUGUCCUCCUACAAAAUGGAGAGCUUGUGAUAGAGGAUAAGAUGGAGAAAGCGCUUGAAUUAUUUCCAAAACUUGCUGGGAAGGUGAUAUAGAAGAAGCAAAACAGCGACGAUUAGAGUUGCAUGAUAUGGCUGGUCUAGAAACAGGGCUACUUCCCAAAAUUGGGAAUGGAGCAUCAAACAGGGAUGGUGAGAAGAGGCCAACAGCCAGUGAUGAGAAUGCAUCAUACUCUUCCUUAGUUGGGUCAACUUGGUUCUGAUUGACUUGAAUUAAACCAUCCUUCAUGUUUGUUGUACAUUUUCAUCACUUCUCUUCACCUUAGACAUCUACCUCUCUAGCUUUUCCUGCAUGUCGCACAAUUUGCGUGACAUAAGUCUUGUUUGGAUAGACUUAUUGGAAGCGCAAGGCAUUUUUUUU